AGUGGACAGUGAGGUCAGAGUGUCUGUGAGGUUGGCCCCUGCAGGGACAACCCUGAGGCCCCGGGACAGAAGUGGGGAGAAGUCAAUCAGGAGCCCCUGUGCACCCUCCCCGAGCCAUGAACACCUGCGAGGGACCACCCAUUGUGUCCUUGGUACCCACACAUUCCAAAGACCCUCAGGCGAAGAUGUCAGCCCAGGAGAGUUGCCUCAGCCUCAUCAAGUACUUCCUCUUCGUUUUCAACCUCUUCUUCUUUGUACUAGGCGGCCUGAUUUUCUGCUUCGGCACCUGGAUCCUCAUUGACAAGACCAGCUUCGUGUCCUUUGUGGGCCUAUCCUUCGUACCACUGCAGACCUGGUCCAAGGUCCUGGCUGUCUCGGGUGUCCUCACCAUGGCCAUGGCCCUCCUGGGUUGUGUGGGAGCUCUGAAGGAGCUGCGCUGUCUUCUGGGCCUGUACUUCGGGAUGCUGCUGCUCCUGUUUGCCACACAGAUCACCCUGGGGAUCCUCAUCUCCACUCAGCGGAUCCGGCUGGAGCGGAGAGUACAAGAGCUGGUGUUGCAGACCAUCCACAGCUACCGCACGAACCCGGAAGACACAGCGGCUGAAGAGAGCUGGGACUACGCGCAGUUCCAGCUGCGCUGCUGCGGCUGGCACUCUCCGCGGGAUUGGAUGAGCGCCCGCAUGCUGAGAGGGAACGAUUCUGAUGAGCUCUUCGUGCCCUGCUCCUGCUACAACUCCACGGCGACCAAUGACUCCUCGGGCUUUGAUAAGCUCUUCUUCUCCCAGAUUAGCCGGCUGGGGCCGCGGGCGAAACUGAGGCAGACCGCUGACCUAUGCGCACUCCCGGCAAAAGCCCACAUCUACCGCGAGGGCUGCGCGCAGAGCCUCCGGAAGUGGCUGCACAACAAUCUCAUCUCCAUAGUGGGAAUCUGUCUAGGAGUCGGUCUUCUUGAGGUGACUUGACCCCGCCCCCAUCAGUGAUUGGCCUAGCUAUGUUUUCCCGUUGCCGAGGAAACGCUUGCUUAGCCGUACCGCCUUUAUCAAUCGCCACACUAGCACGAGAUGGGGCGGAGACCCGGCUUCUGCAAACUCUUGGCCGUACGCGUGCGCUGCCCCCUCCCCUCUCCCGCAGCUCGGCUUCAUGACGCUCUCAAUAUUCCUGUGUAGAAAUCUGGACCACGUGUACGACAGGCUGGCCCGGUACCGCUAGGCCCCAGCCCGCCCAUCGGCACCCAUGCACCUCCAUGCAGCCAGGAAAUGUCUCCUUCCCUGGCUGGCCUUAGGCUUGGAGCCCGGUGCUCGGGACUCAUUCCCUGGGGAGCCAGGUGUCUGCCCUCACCGACAGCCAUCACGCACCGCACCGCAGCGGGGCCAGGGCCUUCCGUCCCCAGCUUCCUUCCCCAUUCCCUCCUCCCCACACCAUCUGUCUGCCACCUCCCACAUGACACCUCAAAUAAAUCCCCUUCGUUUUUGGUAAAAA